GACGAACGCUGGCGGCGUGCCUAAUACAUGCAAGUCGAGCGAAGUUUUUCUGGUGCUUGCACUAGAAAAACUUAGCGGCGAACGGGUGAGUAACACGUAAAGAACCUGCCUCAUAGACUGGGACAACUAUUGGAAACGAUAGCUAAUACCGGAUAACAGUAUUUCUCGCAUGGGAGAUAUUUAAAAGUUGGUUAUGCUAACACUAUGAGAUGGCUUUGCGGUGCAUUAGCUAGUUGGUGGGGUAAAGGCCCACCAAGGCGACGAUGCAUAGCCGACCUGAGAGGGUGAUCGGCCACACUGGGACUGAGACACGGCCCAGACUCCUACGGGAGGCAGCAGUAGGGAAUCUUCCGCAAUGGGCGAAAGCCUGACGGAGCAACGCCGCGUGAGUGAAGAAGGAUUUCGGUUCGUAAAGCUCUGUUGUUAGGGAAGAAUGGAUAUGUAGUAACUAUACAUGUAAGAGACGGUACCUAACCAGAGAGCCACGGCUAACUACGUG
rnacentral:rRNA from 1 species